UACGUAGGGGGCGAGCGUUGUCCGGAAUGAUUGGGCGUAAAGGGCGCGUAGGCGGCCCUAUAAGUCUGAAGUGAAAGUCCUGUUUUCAAGAUGGGAAUUGCUUUGGAUACUGUAGAGCUUGAGUGCAGGAGAGGUAAGUGGAAUUCCCAGUGUAGCGGUGAAAUGCGUAGAGAUUGGGAGGAACACCAGUGGCGAAGGCGACUUACUGGACUGUAACUGACGCUGAGGCGCGAAAGUGUGGGGAG
rnacentral:rRNA from 1 species